CUCAGCUGAAGCUUUCAUGGCCUGAGUCUCAAAAAGUAAAUCUGAGGUCAGUGGUAAAGGUUUUUAUGACUAUGUUUAAAUUUUUUUGAAAAAGAAAGAAAUUGCACAGUAAAGAAAUGUGUAGGGUCAGUAGAAUGUGCAGUAGGAUUGUUCGUCUCUGGUUUGUAUUCUGUAUCCUCCCAAAACACUUAAAUUGCAAAGACAUACUAAGCAUUAUGAAGAGGGAAGUGUGACACAUUAAAUACUAAAGAUGAGUUCAGAAACCUUAGUGAAGGGGUGACUGCAGACUCAGGCAAUCCACACUGUCUUUGAGAAGUGAUGGAGAAUAGGAGUGUGUCAGAAGUUAGGCGCUUCUUUGACUUCCAUCUAGAAUUUUGCUUGGCAUCUUUGUCAAACAGUUCUCAAAAAUAUUAGAAUUAAAGAGGAAAAAGUUUUCAUUCUGUGCCGUGGCAGUUAAUAAAGAAUUUGUGUACUGUGGGUUAGAUUUUUGAUUCAGCCAUCAGUGGCUCCUCAAAGAGAAACGGUCAUAAAAGCCUCCAGGACGUGACACCCAGCAAGAAAAGAGGAGAUCCGUGUCUAUACAAGCAUUGUCUGUGGAUCAAAGUUGUAAACAACUCUACUCAUUUCUGUCCUUUCCUCCUCUGACCUGGGAACAUGCUUCAGAUAGGAGAUGUCUGGAUAUACCUUCCUGCUUGUCUUCAACAUUUUAGGAGUUUGCUAGUAACAUCGAGUAGGUACCCAGUCACUUACUCAUUCAAUUUUAAUUUCCAGAGAAGGAACAACUGUCUUGGAUUUUUUUUAAACUUUCUAAACUCUUUAAUAACUACACAAAAUAGCUGAAGGUAUGAAGACAAGGUAUGAAGACUUCCUAUAGCUUUUCUGAAGUAGCAUCAUAGAUUUCAGUGCCAUCCAUCUCUAAGGUCAUACAAUGAGGUUAUCUGUCAGAGCUUUUCAGAUCCUGACCUAUCUGUGGGUUAUAAAUUCAGUUGUGAGGGCUGUCUUUUAAAAAAUGAAAUAGAAUACAAUGGAGUAUAAUAUAGUAGGAAACAACAUAGUGUAACACAGCUUAUAAGGUUAAGUGCUAGUUUGUGUAUGUUUCAGGUACAUAUAUAUCUGUACGUAUCAGUGUACUGAGCGAUGAUGUGCAUUUUGACUGAGAGGGAUGAUCAGAAAAAUGUAAAACCUCUGACAAACAUCAAUGUAUCUCAGUUAGGAAGAUUUUUAAAUGAUGCUCUUUAGAGUAAAAGGAAGGAACACCAAAAAUGGGAGGAUCUCUUCUACAGUCCUUUUAACCUCUACUCUCUAAUCCUCUUAACCUGGGAUUGUUAGGUAUUAUAAUACCUAAUAAAUACUAAAUGGACUGGAAUGGGUGAAGUUAACUCAGAUAGCCAUUAUAUCUACUACUAUGGGCAAGAAACACAUAGAAGAAAUGGAAUAGCCAUCAU
rnacentral:lncRNA from 1 species